rnacentral:miRNA from 1 species
UGUACCUCUGCGUGUGUCAGCCG